GGUUGAUUGAUUAAUUGGGUGGUUUAUGGUAUCAUGCUCGACUUGAGCUACAUUGAUUAUUGAUCUGGGCGAUAUGUUUGCUGAUGGUGGGGCACUGGCCUUGGUUUUGGAUAUAAUGGUUUUCCAUGCAGCUGAGAGGUAGUGUGUGUACCCCUCCUAUCAUUCUGGGUUUCUGGUGGUAUAUACUGACGAUAUGUUUGCAGCUUUCGAAAUUAAUGUAUCAAGGUGGUGUUUGUGGCAAAGUGAGAGUUUGUUUCCCUCUACGCUCACGUAUUCGGCUGACUCAUUCUCUGCUGCAAACUCCACAAGCGAUCUCAUAGAUGCCUUGGUUUACUAGGUUGACUUUGUCUUUUCGAUCAAUUCAAAAACUCGAAGCAUUUCCUUGGCCUCAUAAAGUUACAUUGGAGACGAACGAUAUGUGUGCCACUCUGGUCAUAGUAUUUUUGUACCCCAACGUACCAGUAAAUGAAGCUCUAGACCAGAUAGCUAUGAACGAGGACCUACUAGCUCAUAAUAUCGAACUUGCAGACGACUGCUUGAAAAAUACAAAUUUCAGCUUAAAUAACAAUAUGUAUAGACAGACAGAAGUUGCUUUGAAGCGGUCCGUUUUAUCACCUGUCAUCUCCAAGCUUUUCAUGGGCUAUUUCGAAACCGAGCCUUUGAACAACGCCCUGGUGAAAUCCAAAUUAUUUCUGGGAUAUGUUGAGGUCAUCUUAAUCAUUUGGCCUCAUGGAGAUCAGGAGCUUGGCUGUUUCGUAGCAUACGUAAAGUUAGUCCACAAGAAAAUCCAGUUCCACACAGAGAUAGACAUUAAGAACGAGUUACAUUUUUUCUCUACCAGUUAGAAAAAUACCCAACGAAGGAAUUCAGCACACAGUAUACAGAAUACCAACGCAUACUAACAGAUACCUGAACGUGAAGUCACAUCAUCAUCCAGCACAAAUAAAAGCUGUAGCUAACACCCUCAUUUCCAGAUCUGAACGCCUAGCAAA